GGGGACUCUUACAGAGCUGGGGCCUAGUUUAGAAUAGCAUUAUCUUAGAUAAGAGCCCAGCCUCCCUCCAAGCCGUAACAGGAAAUGCUUCAUAAAGAAGUCUGCAUCCUUAGUCCCAGACCUCCGCAGUUAGUAUUUGGAUUCUAGCCUUUAUAAAUGGACUUCUCAAAGGUGCAUCCAACAUCUGAGUAUUCUGGCAGCAGUAACGUAAAAGGACUGACAAGGAAGGCUGCAGAGAGGUGUCAGACACGAAAACGCUUGAAGACAUAAAAAUGAGGAGUCUUAAGCACCUAAGAACUGCAAUUCCCUAUCUGAGCAGCAGGAGGCUGGGACCUGAUCCUGGCAUAAAAAGCGGAUGCGGGCGACCGAGGACCACACACGUGGGGGCGUUCGCGGGCGCUGAAACCAGCUACGAGGCCCACGCCCCCGCCGGGGACAGCUGGUGACCAUCACCUUUGGACAGGGGCAUUCCCCAGCCGGCCCCGGAACUUGCGAAAGACGCGCAGCCCUUCGGACUCAGCCACUCGCGCAGGGCCCGGGUCCCGGGCGGCUCGGGGCACCUGAGGAGCGCGGCGAAGGCGGGGACAGGGACGGGGACGGGGACGACUCGGG
rnacentral:lncRNA from 1 species